UUGGGCGAUUUGCCAUGGGCGAAGCCUGAUGCAGCGACGCCGCGUGAGGGAUGACGGCCUUCGGGUUGUAAACCUCUUUCAGUAGGGAAGAAGCGAAAGUGACGGUACCUGCAAAAGAAGCGCCGGCUAACUACGUGCCAGCAGCCGAGGUAAUACUUCCACAACCCGCGG
rnacentral:rRNA from 1 species